rnacentral:rRNA from 1 species
UACGGGGGGGGCAAGCGUUGUUCGGAAUUACUGGGCGUAAAGGGCUCGUAGGUGGCCAACUAAGUCAGACGUGAAAUCCCUCGGCUUAACCGGGGAACUGCGUCUGAUACUGGAAGGCUUGAGUAUGGGAGAGGGAUGUAGAAUUCCAGGUGUAGCGGUGAAAUGCGUAGAUAUCUGGAGGAAUACCGGUGGCGAAGGCGGCAUCCUGGACCAUUACUGACGCUGAGGCGCGAAAGCUAGGGGAGCAAACGGG